AAGAUAAUAGGCCCCCAAGUGUUGACGAAAAAGACUGGGAGUGGCUUGUAUCAUACUUUGGCACUCCAGACUUUCAGAAAAAGAGUCGCAGAAACAUUGAGAAUAGGUCAUACCUUGAUGCCGGACAUACGGCAGGAACAAAAAGUUUUGCACAAAAAGCACAAGAUAUGUUUGAACGUGACAAGGUAAUGCCAGGAUUAUUGGAAUUGUACGAGG